GCGCUGUCCCCCGGAGGCGUCUGGGUGUGCGGAGCGCGCGCGCGCGCGGCUCGGAGGCGCACCUGUGAGGUGUCCCUGAGGAGAGGGAGGUGGGUGCGCGGCGCCCGCGGCCUGGGGCGCUGACUCCCCUCACUUGGAGGCGCCCUGCGUCCGGCAGAGGAGGCGAGCAUCCCGCUCAGGUGAUGAGGAACCCCUCGCGCACCCAGCGCAGAAGGCUGCUGCCGCCGGACGCCUCCAUUGUUUGACCACAACAAGGGCCGGAUUCUCACCCAGCAGGAUCCUAAGGCCUUUGUAGUCCUUCAGCCACUGUGGCCCCUGCCUCUGCCUGUUCUUCUGGAAUGUCUUGGGGGUUUUGAUCCUGUCACUGUGACAAAGUCUUGCUCUGUCACCCAGGCUGGAGUGCAGUGGCACGAUCUCAGCUCAUUGCAACCUCUGUCUCCCAGGUUCAAGCGAUUCUCCUGCCUCAGCCUCUGGAGUAGCUGGGAUUACAGAUUGUCAUACAGGGAUUUUCUAAGCCAGGGGUCCCCAACCUCUGGGCCACAGAUGGGUACCGGUCCAUGGCCUGUUAGGAACCAAGGCCACACAGCAUGAGAUGGGACCACCUAGUUGCAGGAAAACAAGCUCAGGGCUCCCACUGAUUCUACAUUAUGAACUGCAAAUCCAAGAGACACAUCUUUGGAAGAUAAGAGAGCUUCUUCAAGACCAAAAAAGGAGACGGCAUGAUACCCAUGUAGGGAAUUCCCCAAAGCAGGGCUUGCCAUACCUGGACCCCGAGGAGCCUGCUUGCUGGAAAGGCUUUCCUGUCUGAUGUGCAAGAGGCAGAAUGCCAAACUGACUCUUCAAGGGGCAACUGCAGGGGCUCGAGACCAGCCAGCAGUAUCUCAUCCUUCGAUACAGGGCAUAUACUGUACAGUCCUUUUUCUAGAAGUGAGACGUACAAGAUUACUCUACAAGAGGAAGAUUCCAGGGGCUCAAAAACGCAAAGGUUUGCACUUUGAGAGCCCCUUGGAAUGUUGACAACUCAGGAUCUAAAACAAAGUUCUGUGUUAAUGAGUUACAGAAUUCACGUGGAAGUCAAUGUCACUUUAUAAUCGAUAAUAAUACUGAGUGAGGAACACUAUGCAGGAAGAAACCUUCCGUAGAAAGACAGGCAGGGAAAAGCUUAGGCUGACCUUAAACUUACCUAAUAGAGCAAGCCUGAGAUAGACUGCCAAAAUGGCCAAAUAAGAGACUCUAUGAAAUAACAGUCUUGUAACUGUAGUAAUCGUAAGGAAAUUUUCUCCUCGAAAUCACGAUACCAAAUAGGAAAAAUGAUCUACAAGUGCCCCAUGUGUAGGGAAUUUUUCUCUGAGAGAGCAGAUCUUUUUAUGCAUCAGAAAAUUCACACAGCUGAGAAGCCCCAUAAAUGUGACAAGUGUGAUAAGGGUUUCUUUCAUAUAUCAGAACUUCAUAUUCAUUGGAGAGACCAUACAGGAGAGAAGGUCUAUAAAUGUGAUGAUUGUGGUAAGGAUUUUAGCACUACAACAAAACUUAAUAGACAUAAGAAAAUCCAUACAGUGGAGAAGCCCUAUAAAUGUUACGAGUGUGGCAAAGCCUUCAAUUGGAGCUCCCAUCUUCAAAUUCAUAUGAGAGUUCAUACAGGUGAGAAACCGUAUGUCUGUAGUGAGUGUGGAAGGGGCUUUAGUAAUAGUUCAAACCUUUGCAUGCAUCAGAGAGUCCACACCGGAGAGAAGCCCUUUAAAUGUGAAGAGUGUGGGAAGGCCUUCAGGCACACCUCCAGCCUCUGCAUGCAUCAAAGAGUCCACACAGGAGAGAAACCCUAUAAAUGUUAUGAGUGUGGGAAGGCAUUCAGUCAGAGUUCGAGCCUCUGCAUCCACCAGAGAGUCCACACUGGAGAGAAACCCUAUAGAUGUUGUGGAUGUGGGAAGGCCUUCAGUCAGAGUUCGAGCCUGUGCAUCCACCAGAGAGUCCACACAGGAGAGAAACCUUUCAAAUGUGAUGAGUGCGGAAAGGCCUUCAGUCAGAGUACGAGCCUCUGCAUCCACCAGAGAGUCCACACAAAGGAGAGAAACCAUCUCAAAAUAUCAGUUAUAUAAAACGUUUUGCUAAGAGUUUAAAAUCUUAAAACCCAUAAGUGCCACUAGGAAGGAAACCCUGUAUAUACCUACAUUGACCCAAGAAAUAUUUACGCAAUCCCUAGCAGAACAUUGUUUCUGAGGAGGCAUAUGUGAGAUUGAUUUGUUGGUUCAUGCCAAGUGUGUUCCACAGGUUGACUUUGAAUGUGGACCUCUGAGCAUCCACCCAGGAUGGCUCUCAGGUCCCAGUCACAGAUGUCGCUUCCUGGGAUUCCAGCACGAUGCCUCCAUAGUUGAAAGACUACACAAAAAGCCACGAUCAUUGCCCGGCCUCCUGAGUCACCUUCUAUCUAUACUUUGCUUAAAAGCUAUCCCAGAUACUCCCCCUUGAGGAGCUCAUGCCCUUCCUUCCUCUUUAUUCGAGCAUACUGGCAAUGCAUUGGAAAACAGACAGCUCCCACUAAGAUCACGUUCUGGUAUUUCUGAGGUUAACACUUGAUUUAACCCCUGCAUAUCUUUCCAUAUAUCCUAUUAUUUCUGAACCCACCCUACCUAUAUGUCCUCAAAAUCCCCAUAAAUAUCCAUCCCUUCCUAGAUGGCAUUAACUUUCAUUUUAGAUUUUAGGUGACUCAUAAUUCCCAUUCACUUAGCCUAUCAGAAAAGUCAUUGGCAGACAUAUAUGUCCUUGAACCUUUUUUAUUUGUGUGGAUUCUGCUCAUCACUGUCUCUGUUAGACUUAUUUUGUAGUGGCUGCAUCACAUAUUUUUCACUUGAAUUUUUUUGGAAAUAGCUGAAUGUAAAUAGCAGGGAGGAAGAAGCAAGCAAAGUGAGAGCUUUUCUUCAUCAGAAUUGCCCUCUGGGCUCCUUUGGUAACAGAUGGAGCUCCUUCCUAGCUAGGGAGACCUUAUGAGAAGUGGAUGGUAGGAGGAGUCACUAAUGUUUCAAUCUCUAUUUCUGUAAUGUUGGGCAAUAAUGCAUAGGAGUUCUUGAUACCCCUUCAUUGAUUACUGUGUAUCAGUUCUUUGUUAGGCAUGAACGUCUUUAUUAAUCCAUCAUUCUUUUCUUCAUUCAACAAAUAUGUAUUGAACACCUCCUAUAUGCCAGGCACUGUGCUAGGUGCUGGGAAUACCACUGAUGAGACAGACAAGGUCCCUACUCUCGUGGAGUUUACUUCUGGUGGAGGAGACAGAUGAUAAGUAAACAAAUAAAUAAUGUAGUUUGAGAUAGUGAUUAAGUGCUAUGAAGAAAAUAAACUAGGGUGAUGAUUUUAGUGGUGGGGUGGGGUGGGGGUGGGGUGACAUUAGCUAGUGGUCAGGGAGGCCUUUCCGCGGUGGGAUGUUGAGCUGAGGCCAGAGGAGAAGCAGCACUCGCUGGCAGAGCACACAGGCUGCUCUGGGGGAUGAGCCGGUGCGUUUAAGGAACAGGCCAGCACUGGCAUUCGCAAGCAGUGGGGAAGGGGAGAGAUGCCGAGGUGGUCAGUAUCCUGACUUUCAUAGGCCUUUUUUUGUUUGUUUUAAUUUUUGCUAGAUUGAUAUUAAAAACUCAUGUGGAGGAACUCAAGGAAUGUUUAGAAGACCAAAAGUCCCCAAUGACAGGAACAAAAGCAACCAAUUUUUAACUUUUCUCAUUCCUGUUUUCAUUGAUUUCCCACAUGUAGUCCUUUUGCUCAGGAAGUCUUUGGGGAAAUUAAGGAUCUUUGAAGCUCUGAAAUAGGUGAUCAGGUUAGUGGUGUCUGUCAGCUGUCUAAGAGGUUGGAAAACGAACUACUCAAAAUAGUCACGAAAAUACUGAAAGUUUGAUUUUUCUCUCCAUAUUUGAAUUAAUUUUUUCUGUUUGACUGGAAGGGGUUUUUGUAUAACUAAAACCUCAGCACGUAAAGGAGAUUUAAAAGGAGCACAUGAUUUAGUGGGUGGGCCAUGAAACUAGAGAUGGGAUUUGGGGGUGAAUUUGUCAAUAUCUGGAUUUUAAUCCAGACAUCUCUGCUAACAAGCCUUUGGUAGGUCACUUCAGAUACUUUUCCUCCUUUUUACAAAGAGAGGGCUGGCUUAGUUAUUUGCCAAAGCCCCUUCCAGGCCUGAAUUCCACAAGUACGAUUUACUGUAGUGUCUUAUCACUCUUUCAUGUCACAAUAGGGUGGAGCAUUAGAGAAAAGCCUAGACUUUUAGUUGAUAGAGAGCCAGUUGAAAUAUCAUUGAUAGAAUUUUAGUUUUAGGAAAAAUUGGUUUGAUUUCUAGCUUUAUUACUAUUAGGUAUGUGAGCUUGGGCAAAUCGCUUAAUCUUUGAGUCUAGUUUUCUCUCAAAAUGAGAACAUUAGGCUAAAUGAUUUCCGAGUUUCCAGCUAGUCCUAGAGUUCUAUAUUUCUACAUAGUUGAAUUAUUUUAUCAUGCUGUUGCUGGGGAAUAUGACUAACCCUUUUGAAGCUACUAAUUUUAUGUCGAGCUUUAAAGUCCAUAAUUGUUAUCUUCAGAAAAUAUUAUUUGACCUACAGUAUGUCCAAAUCAAUUUAAUAAAAUCGCUUUAUAACAGGG